UAUGGGAGUGGAUAUUAAUGUUGGAGGACAAUGGUGGAAGAAAUGUAAAGUUGGAUCAGGGUGAAUUUAUUGAUAUGGGCCCACUAAGCAGGGAUUCUGCAUUUAAUGUUGCAGCUUGGGAAGUUAAAAAAGUUCUAAU